rnacentral:rRNA from 1 species
GACGAACCGUGCGAACGUUGUUCGGAAUCACUGGGCUUAAAGGGCGCGUAGGCGGGCUGGAAAGUCCGGGGUGAAAUUCGUCGGCUUAACCGGCGAACGGCCCCGGAUACUGCUGGUCUGGAGGGGGAUAGGGGCCCGCGGAACUAUGGGUGGAGCGGUGAAAUGCGUUGAUAUCCAUAGGAACUCCGGUGGCGAAGGCGGCGGGCUGGAUCCCUUCUGACGCUGAGGCGCGAAAGCCAGGGGAGCGAACGGG